rnacentral:rRNA from 1 species
UACGGAGGGUGCAAGCGUUAAUCGGAAUUACUGGGCGUAAAGCGCACGCAGGCGGUUUUGUAAGACAGGCGUGAAAUCCCCGGGCUCAACCUGGGAACUGCGUUUGUGACUGCAAGGCUAGAGUACGGCAGAGGGGGGUGGAAUUCCACGUGUAGCAGUGAAAUGCGUAGAGAUGUGGAGGAACACCAAUGGCGAAGGCAGCCCCCUGGGUCGAUACUGACGCUCAUGCACGAAAGCGUGGGUAGCAAACAGG